rnacentral:rRNA from 1 species
UACGUAGGGAGCAAGCGUUGUCCGGAAUCAUUGGGCGUAAAGCGCGCGUAGGCGGCCCUGUAAGUCCGUUGUGAAAGUCAAAGGCUCAACCUUUGAAAGCCGAUGGAUACUGCAGGGCUAGAGUUCGGAAGAGGCGAGUGGAAUUCCUGGUGUAGCGGUGGAAUGCGCAGAUAUCAGGAGGAACACCAAUAGCGAAGGCAGCUCGCUGGGACGAUACUGACACUGAGGCGCGAAAGCGUGGGGAGCGAACAGG